rnacentral:rRNA from 1 species
UACGGAGGGUGCAAGCGUUAUCCGGAUUCACUGGGUUUAAAGGGUGCGUAGGCGGAUAUGUAAGUCCGUGGUGAAAUCUCUGGGCUUAACCCGGAAACUGCCAUGGAUACUAUGUGUCUUGAAUGUUGUUGAGGUGAGCGGAAUAUGUCAUGUAGCGGUGAAAUGCUUAGAUAUGACAUAGAACACCAAUUGCGAAGGCAGCUCACUAAGCAAAUAUUGACGCUGAGGCACGAAAGCGUGGGGAUCAAACAGG